ACCAAACGCCAGAGAGAGGCCCGGUCGUGGCAGGUGGCAGAGGCUCUGGCAGCUGCAGCUGCCGGGAGAACCGGAAGUUCGUGCAUCUCAGCGGCCACUGCUGCUAAGGACGCCUUCGGUUGCUAACUUGUAGGGGCGGGUGCCCUCGGUGACGUCAGAGGCUUAGUGCCGAGUGCGCACGCGCACUUGUGGAACGCGCAAGGACUUGUCUUCUGGAAGCUUUUUGCUCUUUUCACUGUUAGUGAGGAGCGGUCAAAAAUGCGUAUUAACAAACUCAGAAGUUUCCCAUUGUCGUUUCUGACAUGUUCCAUUGGUGAAAGCAAGAUUCAAGACCAGAUUCAAAGAAGUAGACAAAUACAGUUCACCUCUCAAUGGAAAGAGCAGAAAUGGCACACUGUACUAGCAUUUUCAAACCAGGCCGUGAUUGCAACAAUCAUAUUUAUUUUAAAGUAUGAAUUCAAAUAUAUUAAUAAAAGUGUGUAUUUCAAAAUGUGUUUUAUGAAAUAAAGUGUUUAACACAUA